AGCUUUGCGCAGUGGCAGUAUCGUAGCCAAUGAGGUUUAUCCAAGGUGCAAUUAUUGCUAAUUGAAAAAUAAUAAUUGUAUAAUGGGGUAUGGUGUGAUGUUUUAAUACAUGAGUAUAUUGUGGAAUG
rnacentral:snRNA from 1 species